rnacentral:misc_RNA from 1 species
GUUCCUAUAUGAGUUGAUGGCCAUUUGAUUGAUAUCUGGGAAUAGUCUAUUACAUUCUGAAAUGGUAAUUCUGCUUGGUCCGAUAGGAUUACUGGAAUGCAUUCCACAAAGAAGGACUCAUAAAAGCGAAGCGUCCAUGAUGAUUCACCACGUGGAGCCAGGCAAAACUUGGCAUUGCGGAGAUGUUCAAAAUAUUCCUUCUUUCCUAGCUUGUCAGGACCACUGAAUUUCAACUCUGGACAUUCCAACUUUUCUGGGUACUGCUUCGAGAGUUCUAUCAACCGAAGGCGACCCACCUUUCCUUGUGCUCGACCUAAAUAAUUCGCUAGAUGUUUCCUCUUUGACAAAGGCAAAGACUCAACUAUCCUAGAGCCAUGAGUAGUCAUCCCAUCAUCAAUGUUUCCAGGUAUGAUAAUAUCUUUCCAUGUAUUGAAGGCACUAGUGUCUCUUUUAUCUGUGCGAUCCCCCUCAGGGGUAAGUAUUAUAGACCGAUUCAAGUAUGUCGCCCACGAUUUAAAUAAAUGAGCUCCAGCACCACUUGGGAAGACAAAUAUGUGGUUGCGGCCACCGGAUAACCUGAAAUAUGGCAUUUGACUUAGGACCUUCACAUAGGUCUGAUUAAUCUCUUUAUCAUUCAGUCCACCCAUCACUCGAACACACUUAGGAUAAGCAGGCACAAAGAAAAGGUCUGCCUCUUCUUUCUUUCUAGUCCGGAACCUUGACUGUAAAAGCAUCCUAUGUAUCUUAACCUGAGUACCCCAU